GAUCCAUAAGGCCCAUGGCCUAGGUCGGCGAUCUCCAUUGCACUUAGGAGGGGCGCCCGCCUAAGGUCGGCUUUAGUGGUCGAGCCUACGUCAUAAUUUGUGUUGCGUUCGCGCGGCCCCUGCCCAAUUCUAGUUCAAAUGUUUGUACUCGGGAGGGGCGCUUGCCUAAAGUCAGCCUUGUUGCCCUAUCUUACCAAGAUGCAUGAAUUGGUGGAGCUUAAUUCACGAUGAGCACAAGAGGAAGCAGUUGGAGUAGAGAAGAUUGACUGAUGAGGAUGAUCAAUUGGUAACAGAUGCCCAUACCACCAAGUUGGCCAAUCUGUGAACACACGCUUAACUUAGCAAAAUGAGUUCCAGUUGCGGAUUGAAUGGGUAGACUUCUUGGAUAAAGCCGCUUUUUACUCAUGUGUGUGCAUCUAUUUGCUACUAAUGGAAGUAUUUAAGAGCAGAAUGUGCCCCAAACAAGCAAUCGACAAUCUAGUUCUUAAUUUUAAAAUAGAGGGUUUAACACUUUACAUCA